GGCUCCCGCGAGCGUGGUGCUGGAGGGCAUCCUGGCAGCUUCUCGACCCCAGUGUCUGCGCUGCGGCUGGCGGUAGGAAGGGGCGAGCGCCGAAGCAGGAGAGAGGAUGAUGAAGGAUUUCUUCUCUCUGGGAAUCCAAUUUGAAGGAAUUUUGUUGAUUUUGUUGCUAUUUAAACAAAAGGAGAAAAACCCAGCAUUUGAAUGCAGCGCUGGCUUUAAAGGUCACCGGGAGGCAUUUGCCUAGCCAGGCGGCCUCCUCAGGAAAAGCGUGGAAAGGUGAAAAGUCGUGGGAAGUAUUAAAACAUGAAGUCAGGGAUUCAGAACACGCCGGGCA